AGGCGCUGUCUACGAGUC
rnacentral:snRNA from 1 species